GACGAACGCUGGCGGUGUGCUUCACACAUGCAAGUCGAACGAGGUAGCAAUACCUAGUGGCGGACGGGUGAGUAACGCGUGGGAAUCUGCCUUUAGAUGGGGGGAUAACGGGUCGAAAGACUCGCUAAUACCGCAUAUGACGAAAGUUGAAAGGAGUAAUCCGUCUAAAGAUGAGCCCGCGUCCGAUUAGCUAGUUGGUAGAGUAAAAGCCUACCAAGGCGACGAUCGGUAGCUGGUCUGAGAGGAUGAUCAGCCACAAAUGGGACUGAGACACGGCCCAUACUCCUACGGGAGGCAGCAGUGGGAAUUUUACGCAAUGGGCGAAAGCCUGACGUAGCGACACCGCGUGAGCGAAGAAGCCCCUUGGGGUGUAAAGCUCUGUCAGCUGGAACGAAAAAAAUGACGGUACCAGCAGAGGAAGCAUCGGCUAACUACGUGCCAGCAGCCGCGGUAAAGUCUGUACU
rnacentral:rRNA from 1 species